rnacentral:lncRNA from 1 species
UUUUAUCUUAUUAGUAUGGAUAUACAUGGUUGAUUUUCUUAGGUACUCCAGCUUCCUUCAAUUGUGAAAAGAGGGACGAAAGAUACCAGAGGGACAGUCAAACUCAUUAAUCGAAAAUAAACUGACAACGCCAAGGCUAAAAAUGAAAAGGACAAACAGACAAACAAUAGUACACAUGACACAACAUAGAAAACUAAAGAAUAAACAAC